rnacentral:rRNA from 1 species
UACAGAGGGUGCAAGCGUUGUUCGGAAUUAUUGGGCGUAAAGGGCGCGUAGGCGGUUCGGCAAGUCUCUAGUGAAAUCUCAGGGCUCAACUCUGAGUCUGCUGGGGAAACUGCCGGGCUUGAGUGUGGGAGAGGAGAGUGGAAUUCCUAGUGUAGAGGUGAAAUUCGUAGAUAUUAGGAAGAACACCAGUGGCGAAGGCGGCUCACUGGCCCGGUACUGACGCUGAGGCGCGAAAGCGUGGGGAGCAAACAGG